AAUAUAAUUUUUUAGUCACCUGUUGCUAAGCACCGAUUCCAAUUCCAAACGUGUGCUGUUCGACGGGUAGCGACGUAGCGACGUUAGUGAACCUGGAGGCGGUGGACAGCUGACGCACUGCACGUAAGGCUUUGAAUCUAGGAGCCAGUUGGUCUUCUCUUUACAAUUUGGGGCCAUGGCACAUCCUUUGGUGGUUCUUCCUCUACAGAUUCAAGGUGUAUCCAGGCUCAUCUGCCCAAGCAGUCAACACAGCAUUUUAUUGACCUGACCUUUGUGUUUCCUUACCUUUCUCAGGUAUGAAGCCAAAACUCUUUUUGAUGCAGAGCACAAACUGAAGUUAGCUUGCUACAGCAGCUGGAGAUGAACAUAAAGAGAGGAACCCUGCUUAUG